GGGCCAUAGUUCAGUGGUAGAGCAUCGGUUUUGCAUGCAGAAGGUCCCAGGUUUAAUCCCUAGCAUCUUCA